rnacentral:rRNA from 1 species
CCUACGGGAGGCAGCAGUGAGGAAUAUUGGUCAAUGGGCGCGAGCCUGAACCAGCCAAGCCGCGUGAGGGAAGACGGUCCUAUGGACUGUAAACCUCUUCUGUCGGGGAGCAAAAGACGCCACGCGUGGCGUUCCGAGAGUACCCGAAGAAAAAGCAUCGGCUAACCCCGUGCCAGCAGCCGCGGUAAUACGGGGGAUGCGAGCGUUAUCCGGAUUUAUUGGGUUAAAAGGGUGCGCAGGCGGAAGAUCAAGUCAGCGGGAAAAUUGAGAGGCUCAACCUCUUCGAGCCGUUGAAACUGGUUUUCUUGAGUGAGUGAGAAGUAAGCGGAAUGCGAGGUGUAGCGGUGAAAUGCGUAGAUAUCACGCAGAACUCCGAUGGCGAAGGCAGCAUACCGGCGCUCAACUGACGCUCAGGCACGAAAGUGUGGGUAUCGAACAGGAUUAGAUACCCUUGUAGUC